CGAACCCGCGCGGGAGAGUCCGGAGUGCCCCGUCCUGGCGGCACAGCCGGCGCCGAAGGAGCAAGUCCUCCCCGGAAUCUCUCAGGCCCCCCUACCGCACGGGUUAG
rnacentral:ncRNA from 2 species